UAUCUUCGGAUAGAGAGACCGGCGCACGGGUGCGUAACGCGUAUGCAAUCUACCUUUUACGGAGGGAUAGCCCAGAGAAAUUUGGAUUAGUACCUCAUAGUAUGUGAGAAUGGCAUCAUUUUCACAUUAAAGUCACAACGGUAAAAGAUGAGCAUGCGUCCCAUUAGCUAGUUGGUAAGGUAACGGCUUACCAAGGCUACGAUGGGUAGGGGUCCUGAGAGGGAGAUCCCCCACACUGGUACUGAGACACGGACCAGACUCCUACGGGAGGCAGCAGUGAGGAAUAUUGGACAAUGGGCGCAAGCCUGAUCCAGCCAUGCCGCGUGCAGGAUGACGGUCCUAUGGAUUGUAAACUGCUUUUGCACAGGAAGAAACAACUCUACGUGUAGAGUCUUGACGGUACUGUGAGAAUAAGGAUCGGCUAACUCCGUGCCAGCAGCCGCGGUAAUACGGAGGAUCCAAGCGUUAUCCGGAAUCAUUGGGUUUAAAGGGUCCGUAGGCGGUUUAGUAAGUCAGUGGUGAAAGCCCAUCGCUCAACGGUGGAACGGCCAUUGAUACUGCUAGACUUGAAUUAUUAGGAAGUAACUAGAAUAUGUAGUGUAGCGGUGAAAUGCUUAGAGAUUACAUGGAAUACCAAUUGCGAAGGCAGGUUACUACUAAUGGAUUGACGCUGAUGGACGAAAGCGUGGGUAGCGAACAGGAUUAGAUACCCUGGUAGUCCACGCCGUAAACGAUGGAUACUAGCUGUUGGGAGCGAUCUCAGUGGCUAAGCGAAAGUGAUAAGUAUCCCACCUGGGGAGUACGUUCGCAAGAAUGAAACUCAAAGGAAUUGAC
rnacentral:rRNA from 1 species